rnacentral:rRNA from 1 species
GCCCGCUCAGAACUUAAGGAAUGACGGGGCCGCGACAGCGGAGGAGCAUGUGGUUAAUUUCGAUGAUACGCGAGGAACCUUACCUGGGCUCGAACGUAAGAUGACUGUAGGUGAAAGCUUACAUCUCUUCGGAGCAUUUUACGAGGUGCUGCAUGGUUGUCGUCAGCUCGUGCCGUGAGGUGUCGGGUUAAGUCCCAUAACGAGCGCAACCCCUACCUUUAGUUGCCAUCAGGUUAAGCUGGGGACUCUAAAGGAACUGCCUACGCAAGUAGUGAGGAAGGCGGGGAUGACGUCAAAUCAGCACGGCCCUUACGUCCAGGGCUACACACGUGCUACAAUGGCCGAUACAGAGGGCAGCUACCUGGUGACAGGAUGCAAAUCUCCAAAGUCGGUCUCAGUUCGGAUCGGAGUCUGCAACCCGACUCCGUGAAGUUGGAUUCGCUAGUAAUCGCGCAUCAGCCAUGGCGCGGUGAAUACGUUCCCGGGCCUU